rnacentral:rRNA from 1 species
UACGGAGGGGACUAGCGUUGUUCGGAUUUACUGGGCGUAAAGGGCGCGUAGGCGGCGCGGUAAGCGCGCGGUGAAAGUCCGGGGCUCAACCCCGGAUCGGCCGUGCGGACUGCCGCGCUCGAGCACUGUAGGGGCGGGUGGAACUCCGGGUGUAGCGGUGGAAUGCGUAGAGAUCCGGAAGAACACCGGUGGCGAAGGCGGCCCGCUGGGGCAGUGGCUGGACGCUGAGGCGCGACA